rnacentral:lncRNA from 1 species
AUUAACACAACAAUGAUAUUUUAAAAAGGAAGAAUAAUAAUUUCCAAGAAAAAGUACAGGAAUUUAUUUUAUGUCUUUUUGAAUUUAGACAGAGAAUUAUUUCAUAGACAUCAUUUAGACAAAGUUAGACUGGCCUGAAUUUAACUGCAGGUCCUGAGACUUAUUAUUAAGGUCAUAUUUGCCAAUGUCUGGUGAGAAAUAGACUGGGAAGAUGAAAAGCAUCAAAAGAUUUCUAAGGG